AUGUUUUUUAAAAGGUGUUUUCACAAAUAUCCGGGAGGAAGCAAAAUUAAGUGUUAUAUACAAAAAAAAAAAAAAAAAAAAAUAGAUGUUAGCUUAUUCCAUCAACCUUUAUAUUCAAGAAACUCAAAGGGUUACAUAGAUUGGAGAUAUUGUACACCCAAAUCGGGUUACGAGUAUAUGUAUAUAUAUGGGGAAAACACAAUCGAAAUAACAAAUUUACCUAAUAACAAAACAAAUGAAUAUAUUCAAGAAAGACUAAGAAAAAGCUUAAAUAAAUAUGGAAGAUUAAAAAUUUUAAAAUGUUUAAGUAAUAGAAACGAUCCAUAUAUAAACAACAAUGUUGCUUAUGCCAGUUUUUACAAAAAAGCAGAUAUGUAUAAAUGUAUACGAAAUGUAAAUAUAAGAUUACCUUUAUCAUUACAACAUAAAAUUUUAAAAUUUAAAAGCUUAUAUUCUAAUAAAAGUAACGAUUAUAAUUAUUUUUUUAAACAAGAUCAUUAUAAUUACAGUUCAAUAAAUAUAGCGUUAAAUUUAUUUAAAUAUUUACAAUUUCAUAAUUGUUUUUUAAAUAUUAAAGACAUAUAUAAAUAUGUAUUUGAAUAUUCGUAUUAUCCUCAUAAAAUUAUUAGUUCAGGUAUAUCUAUAUAUAAGGUAUUUAACAGUUGGCUUAACUUUAUUAACUUCUUUGAAGAACUUUUUAUCAAAACAAAUAAAAACAAUGAAAUAUUAAUUAGUGCGAAUAUUAUAUCCGAUCAAAAUUUAUGUAUAUAUUUAAAUAACAAAUUAAUCGAAUUAAAAAAAAAAACGAACUCGAUUAACUCUGUACACUGGAGACAACAUUCUUUACAAUUACCACAAGAUGUAGAAGCUAAGUUAAACAAUGAACAUCCACAAAAAUUAAAAGAAGAAAUUCAAAUUUUAUCAAGAACGAAAGAUUUUUACAAGAUUCAUGAUGAACGUCAUUUAUUUAAAUUAAAACUCAACAAAGAGAGGAAAGAAAAAAAAGGAUUACUAAAAAAUAAAAACACAAAGUAAAAAGCAAGGAAAAAUAUCUUGAAAAAGUUUAUUCCAUAAAAUGAUAAAAAUAUUUUUUCAUUAAUUAUGUUCUUAUGCAUGUUAUACAUAUAUGUAUAAAUAUAGAAGCUGUUGUUUAUAUUUUUUUUUUUUUUUUUUUACGUGUUAUUAUGUAUGUAUAAUAACAUUUAUAUAUGUCAUUAAUAUUUUUAUUUUUAAAAAAAAAGUUAAAAUAAACAAAUAAAAAAAACAAGGCA
ensembl:lncRNA